GGGGGACAUAAGAAUUUUCCCUUCCAAAAGAGGGGUGGGGAGCAUAGGGCUGGGGUGGGGUAUCCGGACUACACUCUGGAAGAGGGAUGACAGCUUCCUGAGUCAACGGAAACUUGGUAGCAAGAAAGCUGCAGAGGAGGCUGCCGGCAGUACAGGAUGCAGGGAGAACCCAGGCCUGGGGUUGAGGCCAGGAGACUCAAUUCCAGCUUUACUGUGUGCCUUUAGGAAUGUCAUGGGUAGAAGCUGCUGGCGUGUCAUCUACAGCCUUGGAGGACAGGAUUGUGGCCAAGCAUGAGGAGGUUCCAGAAGUUUCAGUUCAGUAUGAAGAAAAAUUUCAGAACCAUCACAAACUGGUAGGCUGCCUCAUUGGAGGGUGGGGAAUCGUGGUGGAAGUGAGCGCUCCAUCAUUAGUAGCAUGCAAGAAGAGGUUGGAGAGUCAAACUUCAUGCUGUAGAUUGGACUGGUGAUCUUUUAGAACCCUGAACUCUAACAGUCUAUAAUUCUAAAAAGCAUCACUGAUGUUCGGCAAGUGAAAGCCUCUGGUAAGCAUAAAGAAAUUAUCUACUACAUGGCAUGUAAAGACCACCAGCAUUAAUGGAACCUCAGGGAGCUCUGUUGAAUGCUAUUCAGGGAGCAGCAUUUUGGGGUGAAUGGCUGUAGUCACAUACUCAAGCCUUUGGGAUAGACCCCUAAACUUCCCUCAAAUUAUUUUUUAUUUUUUAUUUUUUGAGACGGAGUCUUGCUCAGUUGCCCAGGCUAGAGUGCAGUGGCGUGAUCUCGGCUCACUGCAAGCUCUGCCUCCUGGGUUCACGCCAUUCUCCUGUCUCAGCCUCCUGAGUAGCUGGGACUACAGGUGCCCACCACCAUGUCCGGCUAUUUUUUUUUUUUUGUAUUUUUUGUGAAGAUGGGGUUUCACCAUGUUAGCCAGGAUGGUCUCAAUCUCCUGACCUAGUGAUCCACCCGCCUCGGCCUCCCAAAGUGCUGGGAUUAUAGGCGUGAGCCACCAUGCCCGGCCAACUACCCUCAAAUUCUGAGCCUCACCAGGCAAGAGUGAAUUAGGCAGAAGCAACUUGGAUAGAAGCCG
rnacentral:lncRNA from 10 species